AUUUGCACUGCCUAUGUUUAACAUUUAAACUCUCAGCUUCUCAGCCCUGUUUGAUUCUUCAUCUCAGGCAAUUGAAUCGAAUCAACCAGGCCUUCCUUUUCUUUUUCUUUUAGCUGAUUCUUAAUUUUUCUAAUAUAUGUAGCUUUCUGAAUCAAGUGGAUCAGAUUAGGUAGUUUUCUUGAUUUGGUAUAUUUUCGGAGACGCAUUAGAAGAGCUAUUUUAUUAUUAUGUUUGCUAUAAUAAUAUUCACAUGUUCUGUAUGCUUGUGAUUGUUUCGGUGUUUACAUUUUCUUUCCAAGUCACUUGCUGUGGUUGGUCUUUGAGUUAAGGCUUUGUAUGUGUGUGUGAGAAUAUGUGAUAAUGUUGAAUGCUGUUGCAUCUAAUAGGAGUUCUUGGAGUACCCUCAUCUUUGGUCCUUUAUAAUUUAUUUAUUAUUUUAUUCUAAAAUGGUUUUUCCGGUUGGACCGAUUGGACCAAUGAACCAGUGACUAAAGCGGUUUAAUGACUGAUCCGGUUUUCAGAACCUUGAUGAUUAGUUCUCUGAAAAUGUUCUGGUUUUGUUUUGAUUUUAAUAUUAAUUUUAUAUUGAUUUACUCUGUGAUUUUGAUUUGGAAAUUGGUUCUCUGGAAAUGCUAUUUUGAUUUUAAUAUUGAUUUGGUGUAGUGCUAUUCUGAUUUUGAUUUGGUAAUUGGUUAUCUAAAAAUGCUGUUCUGAUUUUGUGUUGUUUUUAAUAUUGAUUUUGGUCAUUGCUUUGUUUUGGUCAUUGAUUUAAAAUAGAAAAAUAUUACCACAAUUAUGAAGAUUUGUAUAUGGUUGAUUGGUUUGGUGGCUUCUACUCAUGUGCUAUUAUUUUGAGUCUCCUUGAACAGUUCAAUGCAAAUAAGUUUGAUUUUGUUGUUAAUUUUUGGAUGUCAUAAAUCAGAAAAGUGUUUUGGUUCACUAAGUAUAGUGAAUUUGUCUAUUUGUGCCGGUAGAUAGGUUGAAGGUGCUUUUGUUACGUGAUAACUAGUGUCUUUGGUGGGUUUUGUUUGAUUUAUAGGUGCUAAUGCUAGUGUGUAGUCAUGGAAGUGAUAGUAACAUUAGUAUUAGAGUUAUGGUUAUGAAUUGCUUAUAUUUUUAUUCUUUGUUGCUGUUGUAGUUUGUCUCUUUAAAACCAGAAAAAAGGGAAUCAAAUAGUGCGUCUCUCGGUAGCUGCCACUAUCUUAGACAUUGAGUUGCACUACGUUUGAUGUCAGUUGAAGCUUAUACAAUUUGCUGCUCUUAGGCUCUUCUCGAAGCCUUUUACACUUCUCAGUUCCCACCAGCCACCAGCACCGAAGACUUCUUCCUAGUUCCCAGCGAGCACCGACCCAGCAGCCAGCAGCGUUCUUCCCAGCAGCCGCGCCUAGCCACGCCAGCGAGCAUCGACCCAGGAACAUAACUAUAAGUCAGCUUGGGGAGAAAUCCAUUUUUGUAAGUUGGCCAAUACACAUUGUCGAAAAAUCUGAUCCUCUCGGUAAGGCUUCAAAACAAAACUGGAUUCAGUGUCCAUCUUAGUGUUAAGCCGGUUACAGUGUUCUUAAAUUGAAAUAAUUUUAGUUAAAAAAAACAAUCAUAAAAAAAAAAAAAAUCAUAAAAGGCAAAAAAUUAUACCAGUUUCUAUAUCUUUGAAAGAGGAAAUCAAGUUGAUGAUAGCAUAACUUCUCAACUUCAACAUUGUCAGGCUUGUCUGUAAAUGAACAGUUAAUGACUUGUGAAAUUAUUGGUCUCAAAUUCUGGACAUUAUGCAUUUGUUUUUCAUUAAUAUUAGUGGCAUUCUGGCUUUCCAUAUUCGUCAAAAUAUCACGAAACUGCCUAAAGCGGGAUAAUUCAACUUUAAUGGAAUCGAUAUUCAAAUUACCAUGGUAUUCUCCUCCAUGAACAUCUUUUUCAAAACCGCCAAAACACGUUUGAAAUCAGUAUAAAUUCCUCCCUUAUGUACAACCAUGUUGCUGGUUGUUUCUGGAAUUUCUCUUCCAAUCAAAUACUUAAGCUCUGUUUAUAAUAGUCCGUGAUUGCCUUUCUUUCGGAGAGAUGCAGACAAUGCCUUCUAAGACAAUUUUUAUAGUUGGUAUUGUAGAAAAUUUAUCUUUGAUACCAUCUUUUAACAGUAUCAAAGUCAGCAUUUUUACCAAAUCCAUGAACCACUGCUUUUUGUGGAAGGAAAAAGGGAGUGGUUCAUGAAUUUGGUGAAAAUGCUGACUUUGAUACCGUUAAAAGAUGGUAUCAAAGACAAAUUUUCUGCAAUAUCAACUAUGAAAAUUGCCUCCGAAUGCAUUUUUUGCAUCUCUUCAAAGGAAAGGCAAUCACGGGCUAUUAUAAACAGAGCUUUAAGUAUUUGGAUGGAAGAGAAAUUCCAGAAGCAAACAGCAACAGAUUGGUGGUUGUACAUAAGGGUGGAAUUUAUACUGAUCUUCAAACAUGUUUUGGCGGUUUUGAAAAAGAUGUUCAUGGAGGGGAAUACCAUGGUAAUUUAAAUAUCGAUUUCAUUAAAGUUGAAUUAUCCCGCUUUAGGCAGUUUCGUGGUAUUUUGACGAUAUAGAAAGACAGAAUGCCACUAAUAUUAAUGAAAAACAAAUGCAUGAUGUCCAGACUCUGAGACCAAUAAUUUCACAAGUCAUUAAUUGUCCAUUUAUUGACAAGCCUGACAAUGUUGAAGUUGAGAAGCUAUGCUAUCAUCAACUUGAUUUUCUCUUUUAAAGAUAUAGAAACCGGUAUAAUUUUUUUUUGCCUUCUAUGAUUUUUUUUAUGAUUGUUUUUUUUUAACAGAAAUUAUUUCAAUUUAGGAACCAUGUAACCGGCUUAACACUAAGAUGAACGCUGAAUUCAGUUUUGUUUUGGAGCCUCACCAAGAGAAUCAGAAUUUUGAACAAUGUGUAUUAGCUGGUUUAUAGAAAUGGAUUUCUUUCCAAGCUGACUUAUAAUUAUAUUGUCUCUGCAUUUGGACAAUGGGUAUUUAAAGAAAAUAUACAUCCAGCGAUGUCUACGGUCUACAAUCAUGCAAAAGACAAAUAUCCUGACGAGUUUAUAAAAACUGCAUGCAACAUUUAGAUUUCCUGGAAAUCCAAAAUGAAAAGUAAUACUCCUUUAUUUAACUUAUAUGUGGAAGGAUUAGACAUUUAAAACAUUUAAAAAAGCAAACUAUUGUUAGAGAGCAUUGGUAGUGGAACAGUUCUCUGAAUUGGCAGGAACCUGAGCAAGAGGUUGUUCCUUAUUUUUUUAAUGGGACGUUACUUUACUGUACUUUACAGUGCAGUUAUUGAAUUCAGUUUAUAAGUUUAGUACUGAUAAAUUUUGUUCCACUAUACAAUAUCAGCUGUAUCACCUGCUUUAUUUAGU